UAAUACGGAGGAUGCAAGCGUUAUCCGGAUUUAUUGGGUUUAAAGGGUGCGUAGGCGGGAGAUUAAGUCAGUGGUGAAAUCCUGCAGCUUAACUGUAGAACUGCCAUUGAUACUGGUUUCCUUGAGUAUAGUUGAAGUGGGCGGAAUGUGUAUUGUAGCGGUGAAAUGCUUAGAUAUUACACAGAACACCUAUUGCGAAGGCAGCUCACUAAACUAAUACUGACGCUGAGGCACGAAAGCGUGGGGAGCAAACAGGAUUAGAUACCCUGGUAGUCCACGCCGUAAACGUUGAUUACUCGAUGUGUGCGAUACACUGUACGCGUCUGAGCGAAAGCAUUAAGUAAUCCACCUGGGGAGUACGAUCGCAAGGUUG
rnacentral:rRNA from 1 species